UGGAAAGUUCGUAUAAAAUAUCAGGUCCACUCUUUUUUGUGUGAGGUCGAGAGACAAGCAUGUCCAACUUAGUCCUUUGUGAAACUACCCAGGAAAAGAACAUCCCACCUCAAAUCCUAUGCCAUUAUUUCCUCUGACUUCUGUUGUUACUUCUCCUUUUGGACAUGCUGAGCAGCUGCAGUAGAAGAGUUGCUUUGGGUACUUCUGAUGAGGAGCUGAUAGCUCAGACGUGUAUUGGAGGUCCAGAAGUGGUAUUGGCCUGCGGGAUUCAAUUUCUCUUCUAGCACAUUUGCAUGAGGCAGCAUGAUAACCUUUCUAGCAAUGUUUUCCUCUUCACUUUGUCUUCCUUUCUGACAACAGAGCACAAAACCCUCGACGUGGUUGUACGGAGAGCUGCUGCAUGAAUGACUCAAGCUGUCUCCAGACACUGUGUUCCACUGACACGAGUCCUCACCUGGGAGCUACGGUUUCUCCCAAAAUGGGCACUUCCUGUGUGAGCUUUACAGAAUAAGGAGAAUUUUCUUCUUCCGCCUUAAGGAACGAGGAGAAGUGUCAGAGCCUGUAGUGCUUUCAGAUUUCCUUGCUAUAGGAGCACCUCCUGCUGGCUCUGCACUGCGCUGCCCUUGGACUCCCGAUUUUUCCAGACUUCGGAAUAAAGAAGUGAGGUUUCUCAAGACAGAGGAGAAUGGUCACCGUGGGACAAGUCCUGCUGCUGUGAAGGGAUCAUCAGUGUGGUACAUCUGUUGCUUCAGCCAGUGGCUAUGCCAGACUUGAGAGAAAACACGUCGCUCAUUAAAUGAAGACAACUAUCAUAAAUAAGCGAGAACAUUUGGAAAACUACCCAUGUCUCACUUUUGUUUGAAAGAAACUUCUCUUUUGGAAGUUCUUGAACAUAAAAGAGAGGAACUGCGCUGCCUCAUUCCACAUGAUUCUUUCUUCUUUCAUUUUUCUGGAGAAAAACAUGUGUUUCAACAUCUGAAUUUCCAGCAAAUGUUGCUUUCUACCUCAUGUGCCUGCUCCUUUGGCAAGGAGAAAUCGUUGUGUGUGUCUCUGUUGGUGCAGCUCCCUGCUCUAUUUUUGACCACACAGAGGAGAUGGAACUAGAAGGAGUGUUCUCCAGGAUGCCUUGAGCCACACUGAGAGCCUCGGAAUCCAGUUGAGCAUUGCUUGGGUGUGAACUUCCCUGCCUGUUUCCCAGCACAGGUUGCUCUCAGGCACAAGACUCUGCAACCUAUUUUGGUUGGUC